rnacentral:rRNA from 1 species
CAAAAACAUCGCCUCUUGAUUUAAAUAUAAGAGGUCCAGCCUGCCCAGUGACAAAAUUCAACGGCCGCGGUAUACUAACCGUGCGAAGGUAGCAUAAUCACUUGUUCUUUAAAUAGGGACUAGUAUCAACGGCAUCACGAGGGCUAUACUGUCUCCUCCCUCCAAUCAGUGAAACUGAUCCCCCCGUGAAGAAGCGGGGAUUUGACUAUAAGACGAGAAGACCCCAUGGAGCUUUAAACCCAAUAUAUACCCCCUCCCCAAGCAUCAACUUAAUCUAGCGGGCCUGUAUACUGGUUUUAGGCUGGGGGGGCCACGGAGUAAAAUUAAACCUCCACAACAAAUGGGCUAAUACCCUUACCCACGAUUUUAUAAAUCUAAGAAUCAUCAAAAUGAUGUCAAAUGACCCGAUAAUUCGAUCAAUGAACCAAGUUACCCUGGGGAUAACAGCGCAAUCUACUUCAAGAGCUCUUAUCGACAAGUAGGUUUACGACCUCGAUGUUGGAUCAGGGUAUCCAAGUGGUGCAACCGCUGCUAAUGGUUCGUUUGUUCAACGAUUAAAACCCUACGUGAUCUGAUUCCAGACCGG